GUGGGUAUAGCGCAGUUGGUUAGCGCGUCAGAUUGUGGCUCUGAAGGUCCUGGGUUCGACUCCCAGUAUCCACCC
rnacentral:tRNA from 1 species